GCAGUCGUGGCCCAGUGGUUAAGGCGAUGGACAAGAAAUCCAUUGGGGUCUCCCCGCACAGGUUCGAAUCCUGUCGACUGCG
rnacentral:tRNA from 1 species